rnacentral:rRNA from 1 species
CGCGCAGGCGGUUUCGUCAGUCAGAUGUGAAAGCCCCGGGCUUAACCCGGGAACUGCAUUUGAUACUGCGAGACUAGAGUUCGGGAGAGGGUAGUGGAAUUCCCAGUGUAGAGGUGAAAUUCGUAGAUAUUGGGAAGAACACCAGUGGCGAAGGCGGCUACCUGGACCGAUACUGACGCUGAGGCGCGAAAGCGUGGGGAGCAAACA